rnacentral:rRNA from 1 species
UACGAGGGGGCGAGCGUUGUUCGGAAUUAUUGGGCGUAAAGGGCGCGUAGGCGGUUUGUACAGUCAGGUGUGAAAUUCCCGGGCUCAACCUGGGAACUGCAUUUGUGACUGCAUCGCUGGAGUGCGGCAGAGGGGGAUGGAAUUCCGAGUGUAGCAGUGAAAUGCGUAGAUAUGCGGAGGAACACCGAUGGCGAAGGCAAUCCCCUGGGCCUGCACUGACGCUCAUGCACGAAAGCGUGGGGAGCAACAGG